CUCGGGAAAGGAGGACGCUGUUCAGAGACCUGCAAACAGCUGGACAAGCAGUCUUUAGCAUGGGCACGUUAUUAAACUUGGACAACUGGGCGAAAGUUAAGAGACUGUUGGAGUUAUUGCACAGAACCGGAGUGUACACAAGAAUAUGAUAAUUGAUCUAAGGACCUGAUUCAUCGACCUGAGGAGGGCAGCAAUACGCCGUUGUUGCGUCUAGCCUGCCUUACUCAAAGAAGAAGAAGAAGGAACAACGUCACGUGACUGGAAUUUUCCAAAGGCUACUAUAUCCGCUGUUCUCAGCUAGCCUCGUGUCAGACUGUGCGACGACGACGGAAGGCUAUAUUGGAGAACAAAGAUACUGAACACUGAGUCUUUGUUAUUACUACCACACUUUAUUACUCGACUUCAGUAAAGCUAUCGUUUCGCGAUACGUAUUGGUGAGAACUUCUGAUAUUUUGACGUGAACACGACGGACUCGAGCUUCAAGCGACCUGACUGUUGUACAAAAAUGGAUUCCAUGGCAAAGGUAAAAGAAUACCACUCUGAAAUGGCACAUGCCCGUCGGUCUGAUGGUAUCGAUGUGAUCUUUGAUAAAAAUAGCCCUUCUUCAUCUGGUUCACGCUCCGGAUCAAGCACCGCGUGUGACAGUGAUCGCUCUCCUGACUCUGGCCACUCCAGAAGACGACAUAGGUCUUCAUCUUCCUCUUCUUCAUCCAAAAGCAGUACCUCCUAUCGGCCCAGUUCCCGCUCUCGCUCUCACCCCCGUUGCCACAGACGUUCCUCUCGCUGCCACUGUGACGUUCAUCUUAAACACGGCAGUGGAAAACCACGAUCCCCAUCACGCCGCUACAAGGAAAAAUCACGCUCGCACAGCCGGGCAACUUUAUCAGACGGGUAUUCCCAUCGCAGACGCAACAGGUCCCGUUCAGGUUCCAGGUCUCCCAGGCGUUGCAGCAGGCCUGCAAGCAAGUCUAUGAGAACCCACAGGAGCCAGUCAAGAUCUUCAGAAAGCUCUGUCAGUUUGAGUUUGCAUGAUAAAAAGGAACUCCUUAAUGCUGCUAAGGCCAAUGCUAUGAAGUUUCUUGGGGUGGAGAAGCUGGACCUUCCUGAUAGCGUAAAACCAAUCCUGUCAGUGCCGCCAGAGACAACUGUUACGCAUCAUUAUACAAAGACUUUUUCACAGGUAGGUGCCUCAGUGUUAAUGUAAGCUAGACUUUGUAACGUUAUAUCAAGUCAUACAAUUUGUGCUAUACAGUCUACCAACCACUAAUUGAUUUGCAAUAUGUGCAAUUGACUAUUGCAGUUUAUCAGUUGGGUUAAUCCUUUAUAGUUUGUGAACCUCAGUCUAUUCUCUACAGUUGCCUGUUGAUAAGCUUGAGGUGCAUGUUGUUUCAUUUCUUUGUUGUGUUAACCUCUGGACCCCUGCGAGAACACACAUACUCUCUGUAUUUAUUCCUGUCUUCAUAGAUAACAUGACAGUGGUCUUCUUCACUCAUCGGCACCUGGGAUUAAAGGGCUGUCAUGUGAUGGGUGACAACAAAAUGUGUUUGUGUGCAAGCAGAGUCCUCCAAUUGCCGAUGGUGCGCAGGGGUGUGGACUGCGUUAUAGUGACUAUUCCUGUCAAGAGAGCUAAAAACAGAUGAAGAACUCCUCCCAAUGUCAAAGAUAAGUUGGUACACGGGCCAUGUGCUGAGGGGCUGGGAAACCUACGCCGCCAUCAUUCUGUCGCUAUAGAAAGAGAAGGCAUCCUUUUUCCUUGCAAUUUUGUGUUCAUUCUGUUUCAAGGUCUGUCUUUGGGAACAUUUAUUUAAUGGGCAGAGCUUAGCCUUUGAAAGCAGUAAGAACGGGGGAAAUAUGCAUUAGAGGUUAAGUUUGUUAAAGCUAAAGUUUACUUUGUCAUCUACGUAAAGUGUCUUUAUUGUAAAGGAAAUGGAAGCUAUUCAUCUAUGAACUUCAGAAACUGUAGAAACUCACCUUUAGUUUCAGUGGCUUGUCUAAAUCUGUUUUUCUUGCUUGUUUUUUUUUUAAUCAGAACAACGAGGAGGAGCCUGAUUAUGUGCCUAGCCCAAAAUUUUCUCUAAAAGGGAAAAUUUCUUUCAGUAUCAAUAAUUCUGUGGUGAAACCAACAGUGAUACCUCCUUCCUGUGCCAAGGUGACUCCGAGAAUGGACAGCUAUGAAAGCAGGAAGCCAUAUGGCCACUGGGUUGCAGUUAAAUCAGGCAGAACCUCCAAAGCACGCAAACAUUCAAUUGCCAUGUCACACUAGAGUGACAAAAUACAUGUACCACUGUAAAUACUGUACAUAUUUUGUAGAAAUCAUAUUUAUUGAUUUAAUUGACAAUGUUCCCUUUCAGAUAUUAAGAAUUAAGUGGGAAGAAGUGAAGAAUUCGUUCAGGUGGGAUUCUUUUUCCUCCACUUGUUUUUUGUGUUUUUCAUUCAUUACAAUAAAGACAACUAUUUGAAAAAA